UACGAAGGUCCCGAGCGUUGUUCGGAAUCACUGGGCGUAAAGGGAGCGUAGGCGGCAUGGUAAGUCAGAUGUGAAAUCCCGGGGCUCAACCCCGGAACUGCAUCCGAUACUGCCUUGCUUGAGGGUUGGAGAGGUGACUGGAAUUCUCGGUGUAGCAGUGAAAUGCGUGGAUAUCGAGAGGAACACUCGUGGCGAAGGCGAGUCACUGGACAACAUCUGACGCU
rnacentral:rRNA from 1 species